AUUUGGGGAUCACUUAGCUCAGUGUGCAGCGAUCGCCGCCAAAGCUAAACCUGAGAUCUCCUCCGUGUGUUGUUUCCAAGUGUACGGAUGCCCCCCUCACAUCCAAUUUCCGACACAGAUACAAGCUUCAAUACUUUUACCCUCAGCAGCACUUCACCAUCCUCAGGAUGAAGCCAUUAUAUUUCUUCAAUUUAUGUUUCAUGAUAAUUCUGGAGAGGAAGACGGUGGAAUGUGCAGAGAAUGCGAGCGUGAGGCUGGUGAAUGGCGGCAGCCCGUGUGCUGGGAGAGUGGAGGUUUACCACAGAGGGCAAUGGGGCACAGUGGGUGGCUAUGGCAAGAGCUAUUUGUAUUACACAUGGAAUAUGAAGGCCGCGGCUGUGGUAUGUUUGGAGUUGGGCUGCGGAGCCGCGCUCUCAGCCUCAAUGGGAUCUCCCUUUGGGAGUGGAUCAGGAGUCGUUGUGACGUGUGAUGUCCGCUGCAAAGGGAGCGAGUCUGCGCUGCGGGAAUGUCCCUCAUGGACCUGGGAUCACCACCGCUGGUCCCACUCUACUGAUGUCGGUGUCAUCUGCUCAGGAGGUAAUCCCCUAGACUGGUGAAUGGAAGCAGCCAUUGUGUGGGGAGAGUAGAGCUGUACACCAAGGAGUCUUGGGGGACAGUUUGUGGCGAGACUCUCAACAUGAAGAUUGCAGGUGACAUUUGUAGAUAUCUAGGAUGUGGAUCUGCAGUAUCAGCAUCAGGUGACGCUCGAUUUGGAGAAGGCUUGGGGCCUGUGAUUGGUCGGCCUGACUGUGGACACGGAAAGGAUGGUGGCAUAAUCUGUUCAGGAGGCAAUCCCCCCAGACUGGUCAAUGGAAGCAGCCGAUGUGCGGGGAGAGUAGAGCUGCAUACAAAGGACACUUGGGGGACACUUUGCGGCGAGAACUUGAACAUGAAGAUUGCAGAAGAUAUUUGUAAAUACUUGGGAUGUGGAUUUGCUCUGUCAGCCUCAGGUAGCGCUCGCUUUGGAGAAGGAUUGGGGCCUGUGAUUGGUCGGCCUGACUGCGGACACGGACAGGAUGGUGGCGUAUUCUGUUCAGGAGGUAAACCACCCAGACUGGUGAAUGGAAGCAGUCGCUGUGUGGGGAGAGUAGAACUGUACACCAAUGACACUUGGGGCACAGUUUGUGGCGAGACACUGGACAUGAAGAUUGCAGAAGAUAUUUGUACAUAUCUAGAAUGUGGAUUUGCUGUAUCAGCCUCAGGUGGCGGUCGCUUUGGCGAAGGAUCGGGGCCUGUGGUUGGUCGGCCUGACUGCGGACACAGAGAGGCCGGUGGAAUAUUUUGCUCAGAUCAUCUCCAGAAGCCCAACAUUUCCAUGAUGUCAGACGCCCAGGUGAUUGUGCGAGGGGAAAGUGCUGAAAUUCAUGUUCUGGGAAUUAUCCUGGCUGCAAUUUCUCUUUGUAUAGCGAUGGCGCGUUUAUCACAUCACAACCAGCUCCGGAACAUAACAAGACAGCAAUUUUCAUCGUAUCCGAGAUCAGUGCAGGAAAUUUCUGGUGUAAAUAUACUGCACAUAUAGAUGGCCGAGAGUUCACAUCACCAGAGAGCGAGCGAUUGGGAAUCUCUGUGUCUGGUUCCUUGAAUACUCAGGGAAUUGCGAACCUUGCCCGCCUCAUCUUGGUGAUUGCAUUGUCUCUGGUAAUUAUUGUUCUGCUCGUGGUUCAAUUCCGAACAAUAAAAAAGGACAGCAGUCAGAAAAGGAUUAUUGAAGAAACGACUUGACCUCACAAUUGAUCUCCUCGAAGCUCUCAGAAUUCAGCUCGUCUCCAGCUUGUCCUUCCUCUCAGAGCACCGUACCUUUCUCUUACUCAUGUUUUAAUUUUCUGACUUUGCAUUUGCCUCCGACACCUUGAUCCACUCACUUCCCAAGUUCUCUUUUAAACUCAUUUACCCUCAUGUAGGAGCUAAAUUGGACUCCUUGAGCACUGAAUGGCUAAGUGCACCUGAAAAUUGUAGUAACAGUAACAUUUCCCACAUUUGAUGUUGCAGUUGUCACAUCAGGAAAACGUCUCAAAGCACUUUUCAUAAUAUACUGUUCCAAGUCUGGGUAACUUGGGGAUGAACGAGAGAGAUAACCUUUGUACAAUGACCCAGAAUCAGCCAUCAAAUUGGUGAAAACAUAGAAUCAUGUGAUUUAUUUUGAAGGCGAACAAACAUGUUUCACUAAAUUGCUUUGCAGUGGAUGAAGUUGGUACAACUCCCUAUAUUUGACCAUACAUUAGCCCAUCAAAAGAUGUCAGAGGGAGAUGUACUUUGACUUGGGGAGUAAGGGAUUGAGAUGUCAAGUGGAAAUGAAGGAAACUUACAAUACCAAAUAAUAUGUACUUACAAAGCACAUUUCACAUCAAGAACAUGAUUCAAGGUGAUGUACACGGAAAACUACACUGGGAGACAUUGCCCUGUCCAAUUCCGCUCGGUUUCGUUUAUAUAUCUAGCUUCCUCUUACUUGUUUAAAAUGAUCCAUUCCACACUGAGUGUUUCACAUACAUAAUAAGCAGAUGGUAUUUUUAUCUUUGGUAUAGAGCCUCUCGAACGCAGAGAAUGUCACAAAAUGGGUCAUGUAAUAUAUUGUUAAGUGUAGUUAUUGUGAAUUUGUGUGUGAUUGUAGUGUCUAAUUUACGCAGAACUCUCAACAUAUAUAUUGGAAUGUGCGCGCUCUCAAAGUGAAGCUUCCUCGUCAGCUGUUCUUGGCAUUUCAAUGAUACAUGAUAGUAAUAUAUAUGUGCUUUUGAUAAGCUUUGCUCAAAUUAAAUAGAGUUGUAAUCAUUUUAAUAUUUUAACCCUUUUUAUUCUGUCGAACUGAUUACUAUGCGGUUUUGUGUGUAUUUUACAUGUAAUAUAGCUAAUCUAACUUUUAUAGCUUUGUUUAGAAGAAUGUCUGUUACUAAAUCUGUAAACCAUUUGACGUGAACCAGACACUUGUUUCUGCAACUAAUGGCCUUCAUGUGUCUUUGCUUUCCCGGGAGAGUUUAUUGACAAUUUAGUGAAGUGUCCUUGAUUGAUGCUUGUUACACUUGCUUUGCUUGGUUGGAUAUGUUUCUGAGAAGAAUGAAGGUAAAAGCAGAUGUUUUGCACGAUAAAUGGAAAAAAAAACAAGGAGAUCGUCUAAUAGUGAUAGGAGAUGACUUAUGGGCUGGGUUUUUAUUCAUGCAGAGCUCCGUUAUCUCCUGUUCUUGCUGAUGUGCUCCAGCAGGGAAGGAAUGUUUUGCUGGAUGGUAUCCGUUGGGUGAAAAUCAAGAGGAAGACGGCGGAUUGUAUUGUUGCAACGAGGUUGAUUGGAAAGUGGAAAAGCUGUAUAUGUGAUGCUCACUGACUGGACUCAAGUUGAACAUCCUCCAGAGUGAAGAAGACAAUAUAGACUAAUUGGCAGCAUUAUAUUUCUGUACAUGCACAUCGCUAUAGAAAGGUUUAUUUAAUGCAUUACGAACUGUUUCUGAGAUACAUUAUCUCGGAGUUCGAUAUCUGAUAAUUAACAGUUUAGUUUUAUUGAAGCAGCAGGGAGUUUAUUUACAGUUAAUAUCCGAUUGUUCCAAUUGCUGUCAAAAGCAGCGACUGGUCUUCUCUCGUCCUGUCAAUGAGUCAGGUGAAGUUAUCCUUCAUCAGCACUGUGGAACACCAUGUACCCACCUGGUUCAGUAACAAGAUAACAUUGAGAGAUUGCCUGUAUACAGCAUCUUUCCUGUUGGGAGCACGUCCCAAUUCGCUGAAUGUUCAAGGGUUUGUAUCGGACUGAUGCUUGGGCUUUUUUAAUGGUGGAGAGAAAGGUUGACAGUCAAAGAGUAAGUUUUUGAGUUGGACCUGAAAGGCAGGAAACAAGUGUGUAGGCAAGGACCUGGGAUGGAGUUACAGAAAGUGGGGGCAGAUAGACUGAAAGCCCAAUUUCCAAUGGUGGGUAGGCAAGACAGGGCGGGGACAUUAACCAGGCAAAAGAUGAAAGCGGAUCAGUUCGUAGGGUGAGGGUAGAUUGCACUGGUCAGGUGGGACUAGAUCGCGGACGACUUUAAAAGUAAGGACCUGGGCAUGAUCAGCCGGUACGUGGUGGCUAUGAUCACCUGGGGAUAUGUGCUGACUAUGAUCACUCGGUGGCUAUGAUCAAACCAUUUAAAACAUUGACAAUCGUGCUUUUUCGAAAGGCUUUUUUCAAUAUUGGAUGCUGACAGUUUCACCCCAUUCUCCAGCUCUUUACCCCUCAACGUUGUUUCUUUCUGUUCCAGAUAUUAAUCAAACGCUCUUAAUAUGGAAUACGGAUCUACCUUAGCCAGACAUUCAUGCUGGGAAUUCCACCUCCUAACAACUAUCUGUAUAAAAUCUACAUUUAUCUUUAUUUGAUUUAAAAUUCAAAAUGUUUUGUUUGGAAUGUUUUAAGGGAGUGGACUGUUUCCAUGAAGUUCUGAUGCCUUUCUGAGAAAAACAAAACAUUCUUAUUUUGUUAACGCGCUUACCUUUACCAACUCAGUGGUGCUCAUAAAAAUAUCUAGUUUGAUAAUCUGUAUUAAUUCAGAUGAACGAAAUGAAAAUUAUUACCGAUUUCAGAACAAUGAAAUUAAGUUGCCGAAACAAUAUCUGCCAGUUUCCUCUCUUGCAGUUUAACAGCUGAUAUUUCACUUUGAAAGACAGAAAGAUCUACUACUCCCCCUUUGGCUGGAUGAUGGCUUCCUUAUCUCAUUGCAAUGUCAAAGUCCGUCAAGACAGCAGUGCUGUGGUACUCACACUGUUCAUUACUCAAAACAAAACUAAGCUAUGGACACAAAAACACAAGAUUGGAACAUGCGCUUUAUUUCACACAAUUUUACAAAUAUUUAUUUAAUUCAACAAUGUUCCUGGCUUAAUCAGAAUGUUCCCAGUAAUUAGAAUUACAGUUCAAAUGUCCAUAUUGAGUAAAAAACUAUGGGUAAAUAAUGGAAUAUCUGUCACCAGUUUGAGACAAGAUUCCUCACUCAUUGUCGC